UUACACGGUGCCUGCUCUCAAGUGAAGUUGGUUCAAUUUCAAGUGUUGUGUUUAUGGUCAAGUAAGACUGGAUGUAAGGGGUAGGGGAACUGCUCAAUCUUCCAACAAUCCUACUGGACCAUCUCAAUGGAGAUAUCCAGCCCUAGUCUCUCCAGUUUUUUGCCCCUCUUUUACUACUAAUCCCUAUCUAGUCGCUCAUCCAGUUCAGAAUACAACAAAACCAGACUGAUUCUUCUAUUUCAGAAUCAAUUCAAGCCGCUGCCCCUCCCGCACCACUGGUCCAGACAGUUCCUUUCCCACCCAAAACACAGAUUUUCUGUCCCUUAUCCCAGACUGCUGCGGCUUGGACUGUUCAUCCUCUUUCACCCUUGGCCAAGGAAUUUAUACCUUGUCAUGUGGUGCAAGGUAACUUUGGUCAAUCUCAAACCAUUGCUCCUAUUCAGCCUGCCAGUAGACUGACUUCAUCUGCUUAUACCUUUGAUUUGGACAAACCUCCUCAACCAAGUGGAAGAGGGUGUUUCUUUUGCAAGAGGGAUCUUUCAUUCACACCAGAAGCCGAUGGCCCCAUUUCCCAGCCAAGUAUUCCUCCAUCUGUUGUAGUUUUGCCAUGCGGCCACUACUUCCACAGUCGCUGCCUAGAGAUUGUCACUCCUCCAGAGAAGUCUACAGAUCCUCCAUGCAUUCUUUGUGACCUUGAUGAGAAUGCAUCCAGAAGACCAAUCUUUUCCCAGGUUUUCUCUGUUCCAUUUUCUAUCUCUAAUCUCAGUGGCAUCAGUCAGAAUAUAGGAGGGCUUGAAGUAGAUAAGAAUUGAAUAUCACUGUACAUAGCAAGUCAUUAUGAUUCAUAUGAUGAAUAGGCUUCAACGCAAUUAGAAAAUUAGCAAGUGUACUUAAUAGUUUACACAUU